GAUGAACGCUGGCGGCGUGCCUAAUACAUGCAAGUCGAGCGAACAGACGAGGAGCUUGCUCCUCUGACGUUAGCGGCGGACGGGUGAGUAACACGUGGAUAACCUACCUAUAAGACUGGGAUAACUUCGGGAAACCGGAGCUAAUACCGGAUAAUAUAUUGAACCGCAUGGUUCAAUAGUGAAAGACGGUUUUGCUGUCACUUAUAGAUGGAUCCGCGCCGCAUUAGCUAGUUGGUAAGGUAACGGCUUACCAAGGCGACGAUGCGUAGCCGACCUGAGAGGGUGAUCGGCCACACGGGAACUGAGACACGGUCCAGACUCCUACGGGAGGCAGCAGUAGGGAAUCUUCCGCAAUGGGCGAAAGCCUGACGGAGCAACGCCGCGUGAGUGAUGAAGGUCUUCGGAUCGUAAAACUCUGUUAUUAGGGAAGAACAAAUGAGUAAGUAACUAUGCACGUCUUGACGGUACCUAAUCAGAAAGCCACGGCUAACUACGUG
rnacentral:rRNA from 1 species